rnacentral:rRNA from 1 species
UACGUAGGGGGCAAGCGUUGUUCGGAUUUACUGGGCGUAAAGGGCGCGUAGGCGGCAAUUCAAGUCAUCUGUGAAAUCUCCGGGCUUAACUCGGAACGGUCAGAUGAUACGGCUUUGCUAGAGUGCAGAAGGGGCAAUCGGAAUUCUUGGUGUAGCGGUGAAAUGCGUAGAUAUCAAGAGGAACACCUGAGGUGAAGACGGGUUGCUGGGCUGACACUGACGCUGAGGCGCGAAAGCCAGGGGAGCAAACGGG